ensembl:lncRNA
GAGACGGCAGCCACAGGGAACCUUCAGGGAGAGACCCAUGCUGACAUCCAGCCAGGCUGAGGGCAGAACCCAGGGAGCCCAGCGGAACCUCUGCAGCAGAGCCCCGCCAGGGGGCCCAGACCUCACCAUGCUCCAGCCCGCACUUCUCCUGGGUGUCGUCUCUGAUCUUCGCGAUGUCCUCUGCUGGCUUCUACGAGGUCGGCACCGACCCCACAGACAGCUCGAUGGGCUUCAUUGGGCGACUCAGUGCAUCCUGAGUGAUGCACACCUUUUGAAGGACCUGAGAGUGUGGUUGUGCCAACAGAUGCCCAUCUGUGUUGCUCAGGAUCAGCCUAGGUGAAGGGAAGAUUCUGGAGUAGGACCUGGACUAGAGCAGGUGAUAAGGUGUUCUACCUGCCCACUUCAUCUUGGAGGACAAACAUGAGCCUUGUGUAGAGCUGGCCCAUUGGCUGCUGUUCCUUAUGGAACAAGGACCAGGAAACUGGUCCAUAGGAUGUUACAUGCUACAUGCUGCGGAUGCAAUGCAAUGGUAUUGGUCCAUGGUUGCCUGAAUUCUGCUGGUGCAAGGCCACUGGAACUGGCCCAUGAGAUGCUGAAGUCUGAGGGACAAGGACAAGGCUGAUGGGAUGCUGAAUUCUUAAGGACAAGGACAAUGGAAUCAGCCCAUGGGAUGCUGUAUUCUGCUGGUACAAGGGCAAUGGAACCUGUCUGUAUUAGUCACUUUUCUCGUUGCCUGACCACAAUACCCAACACCCACAGCUUAAAGGAAGAGUUUAUUUGGGCUCACAUUUACAUUCCAUGGUCAACUCCAAGUUCAAGGCAGAAUUGGCAUGGCAGAAAGGCAGCAGAGAAAGUGUUGCUUACAGAAUGGUGGUCAGGAAACAGUGAAGGGAGGAUCUGAGGAGGGAGACAUACCCACCCCCUGUGAACUUACCAGUAGAUUAUUCCAC